UGGGGAAUUUUGGACAAUGGGCGAAAGCCUGAUCCAGCAAUGCCGCGUGUGUGAAGAAGGCCUUCGGGUUGUAAAGCACUUUUGUCCGGAAAGAAAUCCUUGGCUCUAAUACAGUCGGGGGAUGACGGUACCGGAAGAAUAAGCACCGGCUAACUACGUGCCAGCAGCCGCGGUAAUACGUAGGGUGCAAGCGUUAAUCGGAAUUACUGGGCGUAAAGCGUGCGCAGGCGGUUUGCUAAGACCGAUGUGAAAUCCCCGGGCUCAACCUGGGAACUGCAUUGGUGACUGGCAGGCUAGAGUAUGGCAGAGGGGGGUAGAAUUCCACGUGUAGCAGUGAAAUGCGUAGAGAUGUGGAGGAAUACCGAUGGCGAAGGCAGCCCCCCAUGGGCCAAUACUGACGCUCAUGCACGAAAGGCGUGGGGAGCAAACAGGAUUAGAUACCCUGGUAGUCCACGCCCUAAAACGAUGUCAACUAGUUGUUGGGGAUUCAUUUCCUUAGUAACGUAGCUAACGCGUGAAGUUGACCGCCUGGGGAGUACGGUCGCAAGAUUAAAA
rnacentral:rRNA from 1 species